rnacentral:rRNA from 1 species
AGGACGAACGCUGGCGGCGUGCCUAACACAUGCAAGUGGAGCGACGAACCGGGCUUCGGCCCGGGGCAAAGCCGCGAACGGGUGAGUAACACGUGGGUAACCUGCCCCGAUGAUUGGGACAACCCGAGGAAACUCGGGCUAAUACCGAAUGUGCCCUCCGGCCUCAAGGCCGCUGGGGAAAGGAAGCUUCGGCCUCCGCAUCGGGAUGGGCCCGCGGCCCAUUAGCUUGUUGGUGAGGUAACGGCUCACCAAGGCGACGAUGGGUAGCUGGUCUGAGAGGACGAUCAGCCACACUGGGAUUGAGAACGGCCCAGACUCCUACGGGGGCAGCAGUGAGGAAUUUUCCGCAAUGGGCGCAAGCCUGACGGAGCAACGCCGCGUGCAGGAAGACGGUUUUCGGAUCGUAAACUGCUUUUCGUCGGGACGAGAACGGACGGUACCCGAGGAAUCAGCCCCGGCUAACUACGCGCCAGCAGCCGC